AAAAAAGAAAAUAUGUUGGGACGAGAACUCUACGGAUACCCCAGACCACCAGAAAGAUGAACCAGUGAGUUAAGCUUGAAACAUCGCUGGAGGCAAAAAUAACAAAAUUGAAGUUGUCCUACUUUGAGCACAUGAUAAGAGACAAGAUUCUUUGGAAAAUAGGCAGCAGGAAAAGAGGAAGACCCAAUAGGAGAUGGAUUCACUCCAUAAAAGAAGCCAUGGGCUUGAGUCUACAGGAGCAGAGCAGAGCUGUUGAGAACAGGACACUGUGGACAUCAUUCAUUCAUGGGGUGGCCAGGAGUCAGAAGCAACUCAAUGCCAGUCCUCCAUCCUGCUGUUUGGACCAAGCUGUUGCAGCUCCAGCAGCCAUACUGGGUCAUGAAGAUCAAGGUCACACCCUAGAAAUGACAGAGUGGAAAGUUGGAAGGAACCUGAAUCCCUGAUCACUGUGGAGCUGCUGGAUUUGUUCUGAAAUGCCUCGCGACAGAGAAAAACAUUCCUAUCUAAUUUAUGCUAGAUGUUGUUUUGGAUUUUCUGUUAUAUUUAGUGGAAUGUAAACCUAAUCUUAAAAUUAGGAAAUUUCACAUAAAAAUUCCUGUCUCUUGCUUAUCCCUUAACCAUUUGGACUAUCUGGUAAACUUGGUUUCAUGCUCCCCAUCUUGGCAAUUGCCUAGGGCAGGAUAAUGGGUACUCACUUGCUUUAGAUGUGGCUGGAGACCCAGCAGGUUCUUUUUCUUUGUUUAAGUUCCUAGAGGUAUUUGAGUUUGCCACCCCUGAAAUGGAUGUUGGGUUUUUAUUUCUACAGUGUGAUAGGCCUUUGUACAAACUUAUUUUGUCCUCUUAGGCUGUUUUCCCAGCUACUUUUUGCGGGGAGUGGGGCAAGAUGGAAAAAUCUGUUUGCUUCAUUUUCAGCAAGAACAUUCCCAAACUGGCAUAGUCUGCAAAGGGAGAUAUUUCAGAUGCUGGUGGAAGCAGGGCCGGCCCUCUACCCUUUGAGAUACCAUGUCAGUCUGUCUUACAUGCCUGCCUGUGGGAGGAGGGAGCGCAGGUCUCAGUGUCCACAGACUUUUCAUGGUGAGGAAGUUCCACUCUCAAGGCAUGGGAGGAGGGAAACAGAGGGUCUUCCACUCCAUGGCUGCAACUUUUCUCAUUUUAAAGACCUUCAUCUAGUCUAAUGAAUUUGUAUUCCUCUAGUCCAUAUAAUUUUGACCCAAUUUCUCACUAAUACGCAAACCUUACUUUAGUGAAAGAGCAUCACCCUCACCCAAUUUCCAACCACUUCUCUGCCCUGGAUCACAUCAGCAAACAUCCCCUGUACUGACUUGAGAAUGGAGAGAAUGGCCUGAGAGGGUUUCCCCUAACCUGGGGGAGGGGCUUAGAAGAUGGAGGUUGGAGUCCAGUUGCUGUCAGACCUAAAUGGACCUGACAAUCGUUUGGGGAGGAGAGACAUUCUAGGUUGAAGGGUUCUUGGUGAGUUAAAGACCGAUUCUUGUCUUUGGCUAUGAAUGAACUCAAGGCCACUAGGGUGUGAGCAGGAAGUAAGAUGAACUCUAUCUCUCAGAAUCAGGCUAAGGACAAAGAAGGCAUAGAAAACUCUUCCAAGCUGCUCAGGCCUUUUGGGAGGAAUCUAUGGGUGUGGGAUGAGACUGACUUUUAAAGGGGAAGGUAUGACAAGAUCAGAAACCUGUGUUUUUGAGCCAGACUAUUUCAAUGUCUAGAUUUGUUUUUUCUGUCUUUUCAUUCUCAGAAUUUUAUUAAACUAAUGAUUCAUUCA